rnacentral:rRNA from 2 species
GGGCUUGACAUCCCACGAACCUGCCCGAAAAGGUGGGGUGCCCGCAAGGGAGCGUGGAGACAGGUGGUGCAUGGCUGUCGUCAGCUCGUGUCGUGAGAUGUUGGGUUAAGUCCCGCAACGAGCGCAACCCUCACCCCUAGUUGCCACCGGGUUAAGCCGAGCACUCAAGGGGAACUGCCAGCGUCAAGCUGGAGGAAGGCGGGGAUGACGUCAAGUCAUCAUGCCCCUUACGCCCUGGGCUACACACGUGCUACAAUGGCCAGUACAAAGGGACGCGAGACUGCGAAGUGGAGCUAAUCCCAAAAAGCUGGUCUAAGUUCAGAUUGCAGUCUGCAACUCGACUGCAUGAAGGAGGAAUCGCUAGUAAUCGCGCAUCAGCCCGGCGCGGUGAAUACGUUCCCGGGCCUUGUACACACCGCCCGUCACACCACGAAAGCUGUCUGUACUCGAAGUCGCUGAG